rfam:Strongylocentrotus purpuratus Contig12870_fixed, whole genome shotgun sequence.
GGCCUUUUGGUCUAGUGGCAUUAUUCUCGCUUUGGGUGCGAGAGACCCCUGGUUCGAUUCCCGGACAAGCCC